rnacentral:rRNA from 1 species
AACGAACGCUGGCGGCGUGCCUAACACAUGCAAGUCGCGCGAGAAAAGGGGGGCAACUCCCUGAGUAAAGCGGCGCACGGGUGAGUAACACGUAGGUAAUCUACCCUCGAGUCCAGGAUAACCCGCCGAAAGGUGGACUAAUACCGGAUAUGACCACGGGAGUUUCGGCUCCUGCGGUGAAAGGUGGCCUCUGCUUGCAAGCUACCGCUCGGAGAUGAGCCUGCGGGCCAUUAGCAGUUGGUGAGGUAACGGCUCACCAAGGCGAUGAUGGCUAGCUGGUCUGAGAGGAUGGCCAGCCACACUGGGACUGAAACACGGCCCAGACUCCUACGGAGGCAGCAGUGGGGGAUAUUGCGCAAUGGGCG